ensembl:lncRNA
CUGCAGUGUUUUAUUUAUCUUUGGUGGAAGUAAAGUAAUUAAACACUAGUAACCUACUCAUCUUAUGUUGGCAUGUUUGCAACACAAACAAAAGGCUACUAGGAUUCAAAAUGAACACGACACAGAGCUCGACUUUGGAUUGUGAGCGAUAAAUAGAAAGUGAGACACACAUAAACCGGACAUUGUGUCUGUCUACAGUGAGUCAGUGCCCAUGCAUACUAUGACAGAAAGGGCUGUAAAUUACUGCUAAAGUGCUGUAUCUUAUCUCCCUCACUACAACUUGCUACCUACAAUACCGAUGUGUGAAAGAAUAUAAUGACAGUUCUUUGAAACAUAAUUUCAUUUUUUUUUUGCUUGGACAACAGCAAUACAGAUACUUGUGUAACUUAGUAUACUGAGCAUGUCUUGGGACAUUCCUAUAAUUCAGCAAGCAAAGUAGCAUCACCAUAAAACUUAACAUUAGCACCAAGACAUUUGAAAUGAAGUUCACUUAGUUAAAGGAAUGUUUUGGGUUCCUUCCUCCCUUUUCCUCAAGUAGUACUGAAAAUUCUUCAAUGUAAUGUUACUGUCUCCUUAAUUGGCAAAAUAAAAUUAAGUGGAGCAGCUUUGCUGGACAAAAGGGCUCGUUAGGGCUCGUUAAACCUUGAGAGGAGAGGGGUUCGUGCAAGAACAUAAUCCGAGCUGGGAUUUGAUUUUGAAAAUAGACUUUGUUUGAGGCCCCUGGAUGCCAAUACAAUCACAUAUGAAAAAGUAGACACUGAUACAGUUUCACUCAAUACAUGUGUAAAAAAAAAAGGGUAUCUGAUUAAACGACAAAUUCCACGUUAUUUGAAGAAGCGAAUAACUAUUUGCAAGGCAAUGCCCAAAAUUUAGAAUAAUUAUCUAAUUGUAAUGACCCAAUAGUAUACAUGUUAUUUCCCAGUUGCUGAGUAUUUAGUGUAUUGUGUAUAGAGGAUUAUUAAUGUGUCACAAUCACAACAGGAUAACAACCAAAUAAUAAUACAGAUUUGCUAAAUAAUAAUGGUAAUUAAAAUUUAUAAUGGUCAUUUCUUUUGUUGACUGAUUCAUUUCCAACAAUGUGACAAACUUAGUCUGCAUU